UAAUGCUGUUAGUGAGUGUAUAGGUGAUAUAGUUUGUUAGUGAGUGUAUUGGUGAUAAUGUUGUUAGUGAAUGUAUAGGUGAUAUGGUUUGUUAGUGAGUUUAUUGGUGAUAUGGUUUGUUAGUGAGUGUAUGGGUGAUAUGAUUUGUUAGUGAGUGUAUUGGUGAUAUGGUUUGCUAGCGAGUAUAGGUGACAUGGUUUGUUAGUGAGUGUAUGGGUGAUAUGGUUUGUUAGUGAGUGUACUGGUGAUAUGGUUUGUUAGUGAGUGUAUUGGUGAUAUGGUUUGUUAGUGGGUAUAGGUGAUAUAGUUUGUUGGUGAGUGUAUAGGUGAUAAUGUUGUUCGUGAGCAUAUUAGUGAUAUGGUUUGUUAGUGAGUAAAGGUGACAUGGUUUGUUAGUGAGUGUAUAGGUGAUAUGGUUUGUUAGUGAGUGUAUUGGUGAUAAUGUUGUUAGUGAGUGUAUAGGUGACAUGGUUUGUUAGUGAGUGUAUAGGUCGAUUUAACCUUGUAUGUAAAAUAAUGUGAUGUUGUUGAAUAAAA